ACGCCGCAGUUUUCUUCAGGUGUUUUGAAUGCUGCUCAGCAUUCGAAAAGAAUCGGGAAGGCGGUGCAACUCCGCCACGUGCCCAACGCUGUGAGGGGGAGUGUUCAAGCGCAUACCCACUGGCUUAUGUUUAAGCUGGGAAGGGGCAUGAACACAUCGAUCCCAAGUCAGAAGACCGGCCUGGAGAAUUUUGCCCGG
rnacentral:ncRNA from 2 species